UCGGCCUCCUGUUGCUGCUG
rnacentral:miRNA from 1 species